UUUCCGUAGGUGAACCUGCGGAAGGAUCAUUACAAAUCUUUGGUGUGGUGGAGAGGGGGAUGGAUGGUUUGUGUGUGUGCUUGUGCUUGUGCUGCUGCUGGAAAGGUCAACUAACCAGCAUCACUCACUCACUCACUCUCACUUACUCAUCUAUCUACCCACUUACACCCACAACAUAUGCACAGGGCCGCAAGGCUCUGAUGUUUACGCUUGUUUGUUUGACAGAUUCAUGUACCAUUUAAAUUUUGACAACUUUUAACAAUGGAUCUCUUGGCUCUU
rnacentral:misc_RNA from 1 species